UCCGGAGGGUACAAUCGUUAUCCGGAAUCACUGGGUUUAAAGGGUGCGUAGGCGGCUAAAUAAGUCAGAGGUGAAAGCUUGCAGCUUAACUGCGAAAUUGCCUUUGAUACUGUAUAGCUUGAAAGGAGCUGAGGUCAGCAGAAUGUGGCAUGUAGCGGUGAAAUGCAUAGAUAUGCCAUAGAAUACCAAUUGCGAAGGCAGCUGGCUGGGCUUACUUUGACGCUGAGGCACGAAAGCGUGGGGAUCGAACAGG
rnacentral:rRNA from 1 species